CCUACGGGUGGCAGCAGUGAGGAAUAUUGGUCAAUGGGCGGAAGCCUGAACCAGCCAAGUAGCGUGCAGGAUGACGGCCCUACGGGUUGUAAACUGCUUUUAUACGGGAAUAACCCGCCUCACGUGUAGCGCUUUGCAGGUACCGUAUGAAUAAGGACCGGCUAAUUCCGUGCCAGCAGCCGCGGUAAUACGGAAGGUCCGGGCGUUAUCCGGAUUUAUUGGGUUUAAAGGGAGCGUAGGCCGCACGUCAAGCGUGUUGUGAAAUGGCGGGGCUCAACCCGGGCCGUGCAGCGCGAACUGGAGUGCUUGAGUGCGCGGAAAGCAGGCGGAAUUCGUGGUGUAGCGGUGAAAUGCUUAGAUAUGACGAAGAACGCCGAUUGCGAAGGCAGCCUGGUGUAGCGGUACUGACGCUGAUGCUCGAAGGCGCGGGUAUCGAACAGGAUUAGAUACCCGAGUAGUC
rnacentral:rRNA from 1 species